UACAGAGGUCUCAAGCGUUGUUCGGAUUCAUUGGGCGUAAAGGGUGCGUAGGCUGUGGGGUAAGUCUGGUGUGAAAUCCCCGGGGGCUCAACCUCGGGUCUGCAGUCGAUACGGGCGGACUGGAGUUCGGCAGGGGAGACUGGAAUUCCUGGUGUAGCGGUGAAAUGCGUAGAGAUGUGGAGGAAUACCGAUGGCGAAGGCAGCCCCCUGGGUCAAUACUGACGCUCAUGCACGAAAGCGUGGGGAGCAAACAGG
rnacentral:rRNA from 1 species